CAGUGUCAAUUACCGGAGAAGACCCGCACGAGAAGACCCAAUUACACGAGAGAGCCCCGGCCAUAUAUGGAGUGAUACAUAGAGGAGUGAUAUGCAAUGCCGCCAUUAUUGAGUAAAAAUCUGUUUUCUAAUUCAACAUGUCGGACCAUUUUAAAGAUAUUUAAAAAGUGAGAUCUAUAUGACAAGUUGGCUUAAGGAAGGAUUGGGAGUUUAAGCAUUGCCAAUAGAAAAUGUCUGAGACUACUAAGGGAAAAUACAGCGCAGAUCGUGUUUAAAACUGUGAAGGCAACAUCCUGGUGCUCGUUAUGUUUUCCACAGCUUCGGCAUACUAACUGCACCCUUUCAACUCCACGACAGGCACUGAUUUUUUAAUGGAAUGGAUGUUUUAUAUUGAUGCCAUGCGAUAUCAAUAGAUCGGAACAUUUAUAAUUGAGUCAAGCAACAGAUAGUGCUUCAUCGCCUACAGACGAAGUGUAGCGUAAAAGACUAUAAAGAAAAUCGCCUGGAUCAUCGGGAUCGUUCGAAUUCACGAGUUUAGACGCAAGGCUCUCCAAUUUCUGGGAUACAUCUUCUUGUCUAACUUCGAUGUAUGUUCGGGCUAAGUAAAACAACAACCACGAAAGGUCGCUUCCGCUGGGGGAUUUCACUGGAAUACACGAUGCCAGACAUUGCAAUAAGCUGUUUACAAAGCAACGAUUUUUCUUCGGUGGAUUUUCUAGUCCCUUCAAAAGAAAGAGUGCAACAAUGAACAAGAAGUCGUUUCAUGAAUACGUGUGUAGCCGGUUGCAUCAUGUUGAGGAAAUAGUUGUCUUUGUUCAUUACACUGUGAAGUUGUUCGUGCGACUCGCUGUUUACAUUUGCGUGGAGCUGCGGGCAUAUCACUAAUCGUCGAAGCACAUCGUCUGGGUUGUUGGAAUUUUUCUCGUGGAAUCUGUCAUACAUGCUGUAACGCUCUUUCGUUCAUGUCAUUGGAUGUGUGUCAUCAGUCGUUAAACCAGCGUUGGCAUUGGUAAGUGCUGAACAUGUCCACCAUGGAAAGUGUUUUUUCAGUUUGCCAUCUGUCGCCAGUCGGAUAUUUUCGUCCGAUGAAGGAAAGGGUUUUCCUUCGUUAGGAUUGAAAAAACCUGGCUCAAGUCGAUUCAUCAGGUGGGCAAGUCUUUGUGGGAUGUCAGAUACGUUGAAUGUAGGUGGAUACUUAAAAGAUCGAAGAAGGUCUGAAUAAUCCCGCGGUCCCUCGCUUCUGAGGACGAACUUGAUCGCAUAAAUUCUGUUGUGCGGACAAGAGCCUGACGCCCAUCCACCUAAAAAGAUAACAAGCAGGAAAAUCAUACAAAUCAGUCAAAUCGUCGCUUUACAAUUCUGCAUGUAAACGUAUAAAACUAGUCAUUAAAACACUUACCCGACGCUCCCCAUAUCUUUGUAAAUAUCUUUUUGUAGUGUGUUGGUACAUUCAACUUC
rnacentral:lncRNA from 1 species